UACGAAGGGGGCUAGCGUUGCUCGGAAUCACUGGGCGUAAAGCGCACGUAGGCGGCUUUUUAAGUCAGGGGUGAAAUCCUGGAGCUCAACUCCAGAACUGCCUUUGAUACUGAGAAGCUUGAGUCCGGGAGAGGUGAGUGGAACUGCGAGUGUAGAGGUGAAAUUCGUAGAUAUUCGCAAGAACACCAGUGGCGAAGGCGGCUCACUGGCCCGGUACUGACGCUGAGGCACGAAAGCGUGGGGGAGCAAACAGG
rnacentral:rRNA from 1 species